CGAGCUCCCGCGAGGCCCUCUCCUCGGAACCGGAGCCUCGCUCCCGCCUCAGACCGGCGGCAGACCCAGAACUAGGCCUUCGGCCUCACAGAAGUAAAUCAUCCCCGGAAGCUCGGGAAAAGGGUAGGUGGUGUUCAGGGUCACCGUGCUUUGUGCCCGAAGCCCGUGCGCCUUCGAAGACCAAGCUCGUCCGCGCUCAGAUCCAGUCAUCUGGAGUUUGUCGCAGGCAAGAAUACAGAAGAGCAGUUCAGCGUUCCCAGUGACUGUAGACACAGCUGCCUCAGAUGAUGAGAAUCGACUAUUUACCGAAGUACAUAUCCAAACGUUAAACCCAUUUUUUAAAAAAUUUCACUUCUGUAAGAGAAUCUGAUUCCAUUAUCUGUUGUUAUGACUCCUCUCUUCCUCUACUUUACCUACCUGACCCGUGUACCCUACUCAAUUCACUGUAUACUUGAGGAAAAUGAGCUGCCAGUAUUCCUCACCCCCUAUGUUACUGAAAGCUUAGUCUCUGCACAGGUGCCAUAUCAAAUCCUGGAGACAGUUUAGGGUGAAGAAGAAAAUAUCUUUAUUCACCAAGCAAAGGGAAACACACCAGGUUUCUGCCUAGAAAAACUGUGUGUCCCAACCCCAGAGGACUUGAUGUUGGGGUUUUAUAACAGUGGUUUAAAGGUGGGGUCUCUAAUAAGAUUAGGAUGUGAGCGUAACAAGUUGAGGAUGUGAGCCUACCAGGCUCCUCUGUCCAUGGGACUUGCCAAGCAAGAAUACUGGAUAAUCUUCCCAACCCAGGGAUAGAACCCACAUCUCUCAUAUCUCCUUGUAUUGGCAGGUGGGUUCUUUACCACUUGGGAAGCCCUUCAUCUCAGGUGGACGGUCUCCUAAUCUUGAUGGUCCCUUUAAUCUUGCCUCAGAUUGUUUCUUGUAUGCUCCUCCCUUGAUCUGCCCUUUGGAGCUCAGGGAAGGUCGUGGAGGCUGGAGUCUCUCCUACAAGAAAUAGGGAACAGAAAGGCCUCUAUGCCAGGGAGCCUCACUGAGCCCUGCUCAAUUUCACCUCUCGCUAAUUUCUCUUAGCUGUGUACCCUACCCAGCUGUUUAACAUCUUCCAAACCUGACAUUACAUCCUGAGUCUUUGCUGUGUUGCUUCUUGUUUCUGUAAGAAAAUAGAAGGAAUCAGAAAUGUGUAGCAGCUCCGGCCCACUCCCACCCUUGCAUCUAGCAAUGUUCCUCCAUCUGAAUACACUACUAGCCUCCAUAACUGGAUGGACAGUCCAAAUUCCUAUCCAAGUCCAAAAUGGCUACUUUUAUAUCAAGUUCCAUUUUACUCUUGGAAUUGUCCUCUUGUAAGAGUUUCCUCACUCAACUUGAUCAU
ensembl:lncRNA